CCUACGGGUGGCUGCAGUGGGGAAUUUUGGACAAUGGGGGCAACCCUGAUCCAGCCAUGCCGCGUGCGGGAAGAAGGCCUUCGGGUUGUAAACCGCUUUUGUCAGGGAAGAAAUCUCCUGGGCUAAUACCUCGGGGGGAUGACGGUACCUGGAGAAUAAGCACCGGCUAACUACGUGCCAGCAGCCGCGGUAAUACGUAGGGUGCAUGCGUUAAUCGGAGUGACUGGGCGUAAAGCGUGCGCAGAGGGUUGGAAGCCCCGGGCUUAACCUGGGAACUGCAGUUGUGACUGCAUAGCUGGAGUGCGGCAGAGGGGGAUGGAAUUCCGCGUGUAGCAGUGAAAUGCGUAGAUAUGCGGAGGAACACCGAUGGCGAAGGCAAUCCCCUGGGCCUGCACUGACGCUCAUGCACGAAAGCGUGGGGAGCAAACAGGAUUAGAUACCCGUGUAGUC
rnacentral:rRNA from 1 species